GACGAGGGGUCCUAGCGUUGUUCGGAAUUACUGGGCGUAAAGGGCCAGUAGGCGGCCAACUAAGUCACACGUGAAAUCCCCAGGCUUAACCUGGGAACUGCGUGUGAUACUGGAUGGCUUGAAUUCGGGAGAGGGAUGCAGAAUUCCAGGUGUAGCGGUGAAAUGCGUAGAUAUCUGGAGGAAUACCGGUGGCGAAGGCGGCAUCCUGGACCGACAUUGACGCUGAACGGCGAAAGCUAGGGGAGCAAACGGG
rnacentral:rRNA from 1 species